CUUUCCCAAAAUGUCUCUGGGUUUCAGGGAGAUUUUGAUGAGAUUGUGAGAGAUGGGGCAGCGAGUUCAUUCACUCUCUGGGUCAGUAAACAAGUAUUGCUUAAUCUAUUUUGUGUCAGGCACUGAGAUAAGUAUGAAGGAUUCAGAAACCAACCAGACUAGCAGUUUCUUAAAGCCCGACAACCUAUCUGUCUUGUUGGGCACAUGUCAUAUUUAAAUAACUCAAAUAAUUAUAGUUUAGGAAAAGUCCUAAGAAAGAAAAAAAAAUCAAGGUAACAGAGCUUUGGGAGCCAGGGAAUGUGGGAUAGAGUGUUCGUCUCUGAAGAGCAGCAGACAAUGAAGCUGAGAAUCCACGGCAGAAAUGACUUAGAUGUGUGAGAGGCCAUAGGGAACAGAGUGCAAAGGCCCUGGGGCAGGAAGGGGCUUGGCGGGUUCAGCCUGGUGAGCUGGCUGUGGAAAGCCAGGGAAGAACAAUGUGAGAUGAGAUUGGAGAGUGGGUUAGGGGUCAGCUAUGGCCCUGAGGGUCCUGAACAGGGGUUCAGGUUUUGUUCCAAGUACAGUGGAGCAGUCCUUGGAAGCUUUCAGAUGGAAGAAAAAUGAUCAUAUCAGCUUCCUACAAAACCCACUUUGGCUGCUGUGUGGAGACUAAGUCAGAGGGGGCAGAGCAGAGGCAGGUAAGGAGGCCUCCUGUGUGGAGGGAGGCUCCACGGGCAGUACUGAUGCCCACCCUGCCCUGCUGGGCUGCUGGGCUUCUGAAUCCACAUGGGCAAUUGCACUUGGUGGACAUGAAACAGAGCUCCUGCUGACCUUGACGGUCUGAUGGUCUGGCUUCUCCCCACCUUCUGCAGGUCAAGUGGCCACAGAAUGGCCUCUGACCUCCUCCAGUGCUUAGAUCCUCAAGGACACACAUACAUUGCACAGGAAGGAAGAGGUCACUUCAGAGGCCACACCUACCACAGGCUCCCCUGACCCCCACUCUCCGCAGGGGCGUUCGGUGACUUGCUCCAUCUUAGCUCUCACAGGGGACAAUGGUGUCCUCUGGCAACACCUGCAGGUCCCUGGUCUUCACGAGGUGGGGAGGGCAGGUGUGACUGACAUCUGCUGGGUCAAAGUCAGAGAUGCCGCUGAGCGUCAUGUCACGCUCAGGACAAGUCCCUGACACAAAGAAUGGUUGGCACCAGGUGUCAAUAGUGACCAGGGCUCAGAAGCAGGACCCCAACCAUGCAGGCAGGCCCUCGGUUGACGUGUGGUGACUCGAUCCCGGUUCAUUUUUUACAGCAGGGCUACGUAAGAUGGAUACUUUUAUUACCCCAGAGGACAGAGGGGGAAACUGAGACCCCCCUGGGCAAAGCAAC
rnacentral:lncRNA from 1 species